ensembl:lncRNA
AAAUAUGUUCCUUAAAUUCUGCUUAUAUUAUCACUUGGGGUAUAAUACAUGAGUAACUGUAUCUAUUUAUUAUUAAAAGCUGUUUGAGGAUUUUAAAAAUAUUUAUUCCACACAACAAUAAUAAUGGAUAAUAAUCAUCUCUACAGUAAAGAGAUUUUAUGGCUAUUAAACUGAUAACUUUUAUUGCUUUGCUAUAGUAUUAUGAAUUUUGUUCUUAAAAAAUAUCAGAUUUUUCUUAUGAAAGAUAAGUUACCAUCACUGAGUGACUUUGUCUAAGUUCUUAAUUUCAGUGCUAAUUUAAAUGACUCCAUUGUCCUACUACACUGAGGAGGGGGAAAUAAAUGAGUCACCUUGUUUCAAAAUGUGAGGAAGUGUCAUCUUUGAUAUUAUUAGUCUCUGCAUUGUGUUAGGCAAGCUGAUUUUAUGUGCUGGAGCAAAACCCAUGGCUCAUAAACUCAACAGAGGUUUGAAAAUCUAAAGUACUUGCAAAUUCUUAAGAACACUACCAGAACAUGAUUUGGACCAUUUCUUCCGGCCUUUUGGAGUUCGCCUUCUGUGAUUUGAACCUACAUAUCUUACUGGGUUUCUUGAAAUAUCCAAUUUGAUUUACAUUUUUAUAUUUACCUUAUUCACUGGAUUGUCAUUUCUAUGGUCAAUAAUCAAUUUGGUACUUCUAUACUGUUGUCGU